CUGAACGUACUAAAAUUUGAGUUCACCACUGCUCAAAAACUAGCACAUUAUCGUCUUCAAUUUCAUGCCAAGUAAACAAAAUUCUACUUUUAUGUACCUCAUAUAAUUUCCUUGGAUACGUAUGAUAUCAAUAGCAAAUUCAAACGGAAAGCAAAUGUCAGAAGUCACGUAAAUCCACAACAUUAAUUGGCCCUUAACACUCAACUCCCUUGCAAAAGAAUUUAUAAUACAUCCUAUUGAGAAAAAUAGACAAUUUCAGUAGGAGAAAGGUAAGUUGCCAAAAUUAACAUAAGCAUACAGUCAAAAAGAUAUGAGACUACACCCUACUACUACCAUGCUUUUCAGUGUAACUUUGAAUUAGGUUAGAUGAAUCUAAUGAACAUUUCGGUUAACGUCUGAAUAAUCAGAAAUCCUAUCUAUUUAUUUUUAUUUUUUUACCAUAAAAAUACGAACUAAAGAGUUUUUGUCUCUCCGGAUCAUUAGUUUCUAAGAGGUUAGAAGUAUAUCUUCGCUUGACAGAACGCGAAUGCGCAUUUAUUUGAUCUUGAUCCUUGUGGAACGAAAGUAAGACUAGACUGCAUCUGCACGCCCUCCUAAUAAUAUCUAUAAAUGACUUGAUUUUGGUAAUAGAUGAACAUUACCAUAUGUAAAUUCAGGUGACAGGUGAAUGAUAUACAUCGGUACUAUCAGAGCCAUGAGAAUUGGUGAUAAACUUGGAUGAAUUUCUUGGCUCAAUACCAUGUCCAGUGCCUUCAGAUUUCUGCGUAAACAGUUCACUCAACGACCUUGAGAACGCAAGAAUUUACGACUGAAUUCCAGUGCAUGCAGUGCGAGAAAUGAUUUAUAAAUUGGAAAAUAAAAUAUCAACUCUCACUUCUGCUUGCUGUUUCAACUUGGCAUUCCUUCCAUUAAUUUCGAUCCCUG
rnacentral:lncRNA from 1 species